CUUUGUCAUCCUGGGGACUCCCUGAUCCAGACAGCGUGCUGGACCAUUGGAGACAGAACUGUUAUGGAUCCUGGUCGUGUGCGUUGCUGCGUAACUAGAAAAUUCCUGGAUAAACUAAGCAGCCUUUGUCAUUGUGGGGACUCCCUGAUCCAGACACCGUGCUAGACCAUGGGAGACAGAACUUUUAUCGCUCCUGAUCGCGUGCGUUGCUGCGCAACUAGACAAUUCCUGUAUAAACUAAGCAGAAAUACUUUGAUACAUUGAAUGGUUUCUUCGGUGUUUGUUGCUGUCCCAAUAUUCUCAUCUAGAAGUUCUAAAGCGGCAAAUCUUUUCAAACCUGACGGCUUGUUCACUCCGUUAGUGACCAUUGCUUUUUACACAGUGGAGCCAAACUGUUUAUUUCCACAUAAAGAAUGUUCAUAUUUCUGUCUGGCAUUAAAUAAAUCAUAUAUAUGUAA